AACGCGUGGGUAACCUGCCUUGUACUGGGGGACACCUGUUGGAAACGACUGCUAAUACCGCAUAAGCGCACAGCUUCGCAUGAAGCAGUGUGAAAAACUCCGGUGGUACAAGAUGGACCCGCGUCUGAUUAGCUGGUUGGUGAGGUAACGGCCCACCAAGGCGACGAUCAGUAGCCGGCCUGAGAGGGUGAACGGCCACAUUGGGACUGAGACACGGCCCAAACUCCUACGGGAGGCAGCAGUGGGGAAUAUUGCACAAUGGGGGAAACCCUGAUGCAGCAACGCCGCGUGAGUGAAGAAGUAUUUCGGUAUGUAAAGCUCUAUCAGCAGGAAAGAAAAUGACGGUACCUGACUAAGAAGCCCCGGCUAACUACGUGCCAGCAGCCGCGGUAAUACGUAGGGGGCAAGCGUUAUCCGGAUUUACUGGGUGUAAAGGGAGCGUAGACGGAUGGACAAGUCUGAUGUGAAAGGCUGGGGCUCAACCCCGGGACUGCAUUGGAAACUGCCCGUCUUGAGUGCCGGAGAGGUAAGCGGAAUUCCUAGUGUAGCGGUGAAAUGCGUAGAUAUUAGGAGGAACACCAGUGGCGAAGGCGGCUUACUGGACGGUAACUGACGUUGAGGCUCGAAAGCGUGNGGAGCAAACAGGAUUAGAUACCCUGGUAGUCCACGCGGUAAACGAUGAAUGCUA
rnacentral:rRNA from 1 species